GUUCAGUCCCUGGGUUGGGAAGAAAGAUCUCCUGGAGGAGGAAAUGGCAGCCCACUCCAGUACUCUUGCCUGGAGAAUUCCAUGGACAGAGGAGCCUGGUGGGCUCCAGUCCACAGAGUCGUAAAGAGUUGGUCAUAACUGAACAACUAAGCAUGCAGUC